rnacentral:rRNA from 1 species
UACGGAGGGGGCUAGCGUUGUUCGGAAUUACUGGGCGUAAAGGGCUCGUAGGCGGCCAACUAAGUCGGAUGUGAAAUCCCCAGGCUCAACCUGGGAACUGCAUCCGAUACUGGAUGGCUUGAAUUCGGGAGAGGGAUGCAGAAUUCCAGGUGUAGCGGUGAAAUGCGUAGAUAUCUGGAGGAAUACCGGUGGCGAAGGCGGCAUCCUGGACCGACAUUGACGCUGAUGAGCGAAAGCUAGGGGAGCAAACGGG